rnacentral:rRNA from 1 species
AGUGAACGCUGGCGGUAGGCCUAACACAUGCAAGUCGAACGGCAGCACAGUAAGAGCUUGCUCUUACUGGUGGCGAGUGGCGGACGGGUGAGGAAUACAUCGGAAUCUACUUUUUCGUGGGUGAUAACGUAGGGAAACUUACGCUAAUACCGCAUACUACCUACGGGUGAAAGCAGGGGAUCUUCGGACCUUGCGCGAUUGAAUGAGCCGAUGUCGCAUUAGCUAGUUGGCGGGGUAAAGGCCCACCAAGGCGACGAUCCGUAGCUGGUCUGAGAGGAUGAUCAGCCACACUGGAACUGAGACACGGUCCAGACUCCUACGGGAGGCAGCAGUGGGGAAUCUUGGACAAUGGGCGCAAGCCUGAUCCAGCAAUACCGCGUGGGUGAAGAAGGCCUUCGGGUUGUAAAGCCCUUUUGUUGGGAAAGAAAAGCAGCAGGUUAAUACCCCGCUGUUCUGACGGUACCCAAAGAAUAAGCACCGGCUAACUUCGUG